AGGACGAACGCUGGCGGCGUGCCUAACACAUGCAAGUGGAGCGACGAACCAGGCUUCGGCCUGGGGCAAAGCCGCGAACGGGUGAGUAACACGUGGGUAACCUGCCCUGAUGAUUGGGACAACCCGAGGAAACUCGGGCUAAUACCAAAUGUGACCUCCGGCCAUAAGGCCGCUGGGGAAAGAAAGCUUCGGCCUCCGCAUCGGGAUGGGCCCGCGGCCCAUUAGCUUGUUGGUGAGGUAACGGCUCACCAAGGCUAUGACGGGUAGCUGGUCGUGAGAGGACGACCAGCCACACUGGAACUGAGACACGGUCCAGACACCUACGGGUGGCAGCAGUCGAGAAUUUUUCUCAAUGGGGGAAACCCUGAAGGAGCGACGCCGCGUGGAGGAUGAAGGUCUUCGGAUUGUAAACUCCUGUCAUUAGGGAACAAUUGCCAGCGAUUAACUGUCGCGGGCUUGAUAGUACCUGAAGAGGAAGAGACGGCUAACUCUGUGCCAGCAGCCG
rnacentral:rRNA from 1 species